rnacentral:rRNA from 1 species
UACGAAGGGGGCGAGCGUUGUUCGGAUUUACUGGGCGUAAAGGGUGCGUAGGCGGCGCGGUAAGUCGGGUGUGAAAUCUCGGAGCUUAACUCCGAAACUGCAUUCGAUACUGCCGUGCUUGAGGACUGGAGAGGAGACUGGAAUUUACGGUGUAGCGGUGAAAUGCGUAGGAUAAUCGUAAGGAAGACCAGUGGCGAAAGGCGGGUCUCUGGACAGUUCCUGACGCUGAGGCACGAAGGCCAGGGGAGCAAACGGG